GGCUCCUUAGGUUCCUCACCUAGAAUCACACUGCCUACAUUUAGCUUCUCGGCAUCUGUCGGUGACUUCUCAUUUGGCUCUAUAUAUACAGGCUCGGCUGAUUCUUGUUUCGCCGGUUUCGACGAUUCUUCUGUCACUGACUCCAUUGGUGCGCAUUUUGUUGGCUCUGAUUCUGCGUUAUUAUCAUUCUUAGCUAACAUUCCCAUUUCCUCCUGCAAACAAAUAAAAUUAAUUGAAUAAACAGAUACAUCAUAUGAACCCCCCCCCCCCCAAAAAAAAAAAACAUACCUCUUUGAACAAGUUACUAAGAGAUCGUCGCGUGUUGCCAUGAUGAUUGAGGUCAGGUUCGACCUUGUUUUCAGGUUCUGUAGGUUCAGGAACAGAUUCUUUGCCCCACUUAGAAGACGGUAUGGGAAUCGGCUCCUCGGCUUCCUGGCCCUUCAAAACCUUUGGCUUUGCAGCACAACAUCCCAUGUUAAUAAAUUUUAUCUCAGCUUUCAAAAACUAGAGAACCAACCUAUUCUAAAAACCCUCUCUUUUUUCUUUAAUAUUUCGCUUGGCCUCUUCUUUCUGGGUGAGUAAGACAAUGAGAAGAUUUAGGAGAUUUAUGAGGAAAGUGAAAAAUGAAUUUUAUUUAUGGUUCAUUGGCUUCCGACAAUUGUUCUGCGGUAAACAAACAUUGAAAACAGGGACACUGUUUUAUUAUGUUCCCAGGAAAUUUACGUUUUAAAUACUAUGCUAACAUAUUUUUAUGCUAAUAUUCUUUUAUCCAGUUUAUUUCCAAUUAAACUCCAAUAUGAACUAAUAAUUUCAUUUAAAAAAAUGAUAUUUAUUAGGUAUGGUGGUUUAUUUAGUGUUUCUAUUUUUUAAAGAUAUUUUAGUCUUUUAUUUAAUUUUUUGUUUUUUUUAGUUAUUAAAUUUAUGUUUUUUUGUCAAAUCACUUCAAAAUAAUUGGAAAAGUUAAUAUUUUUAAACUUUGUUGAUGUGGCACGAGUAUGCCAUGUCACCAUUUAAUUCAUUUUUUUAAAAAAAAAUAUUUUUUAAAAUCAUUAAAAUUAUUUUAAAAUAUAAAAAAUAUUUAUAAAAUUUUAAAAAUUAAUUAAAUAUUGACAUGUCAUCCACGUACUAAUUCUCAUGUAUAACACAUCGGCAAAAUUAACAAACGUUAGCUUUUUCAUACAUGUUGAGAUGAUUUGACAAAAAAUACAAGUUUAAAGACUAAAAGAGGUAAAAAAUAAAAUAGAUGGGUGAAAUUACCUUUUUGUAAAGUUAGAGAGCCAAAAAAGUGAUUAUGCCUAUUUAUUAACAGAUAAAAGUUAAAUUAAGUUAUUAAUCUUUAUGUCAUGUGUAAGUUCUAGAUUUAAUCUAUGUACUUUUUUAAUUUUCAAAUAAAAGUUUUGAUCCAAAGAGUAGUCAUUAAAUUUGUUAAGUUAAAUUUAAUAUAUUGUCAUAUAAGCAGUGUUAUGCUAGCUUAUUAUUUUUACAUAAUACUAAAAAAUUUGUUUUAUUUUAAUUUAUAAGUUUAAUAGCUAUCUUUUGAAUCAAUCAAGACAGAAUUAAAAAAAAACAUAAGAACUCAAUAUGAUCAAAUUAAAAAAAUUGACUAAAUUUACAACUUAGACUAAUAACAAUAUUUGACUUAAUAAAUAUAAUUGCUACCAUUUGAGUCAGGAUUAAAAUCGAUGAAAUUAGAAUAUAAAGACUAAAUUUGUAAUUUUCAUAUAGUAUAGGGUUUGAUAGCAGAAUUUGACCAUAUUUUUUAAGUUAUAUAUCUUAACACGAACAUACAGCAUGAGUACGUACCGUAAAAGAAAGUAAAGUUGCCUUAAUUGGCACGAUAUUUCCUUGCCUAAAUGCAAAAGAUAUGGCACAUUGGCAAUGGGGAAACCAAGCACGUGUGGAUGGAUCGUUGGAUCCAUAGUGUGAUGCCUAAAGAGUUGCUUCACUCAAAUCUUACAUUAUUUCUAUGAGAUUUAGUGUGAGUUUGGAUGGGCGGUGCGUUUACCUGCGGUUAGUGUAAAAACAGCGGUGACGGUGAGAUUAGAUACUGUAGCGAUACUGUAGCGUGAGACAAAAAGUAAGCUAAACGCACCGCACCGCACUCAAUCGCCCAUCCAAACCCACCCUUAAUAGACACUAGAGACUUUUGGUCAUGCUGGGAUGACAAUAGAACAAAACAGGUAAUUUUUUACUUGUCUCAAUUUUAACGUGAUUUUUGUACUUCUUGCCCCGCCUCAAAAUUAUUUUAUUAAGAAAUUUCACUUUAACCCCAACUUCAACCUUGAAAUAGCUUUCCAAUUUCCUGAACUAGCCCAAAAUCUUAAAUAUUAUUUUUUAUAAAAUUAAACCAAAUAUAUAAUAUAAAAUUAGUUAUAAUCUACAUAAAUACAUAUCAAGACAAGAGGUGCCAUAUUUGACUUCAACUUAAUCUUGAUAUUUUAAAUAUUGAUUUAUUAAUACAUUAGUUUUUACAAAAUUAAACUAAAUAUAUAUAUUAAAACACAUUUUAAAAGGGUAAACUAUAAAAAUAGUCACUUAUGUUUGAAAUGUUAAGUUUUAGUCACUUACAUUAUUGUUUUGUUAUGAAGUAGUCACUCUACCGUUAAACUCCGUUACCUCCCUAACGACAGUCCUACGUGGCAAUUCAAAAUGGAUUUUAAAUGCCAACUUAGAUGCUAAAUUAUUGGGAUGAAAAUAGGUUUUAAAUUAAAUAAAUUUAAUUUGAACGGUCACGUAAGACAUCCAAAUUGGCAUUUAAAACCCAUUUUGACUGCCACGUAGGACCACCGUUAAGGAGGUAACAGAGCUAAAUGGUAGAUUGACCAUUUCGUAACAAAACGAUAACGUAAGUGACUAAAACGUAACAUUUCAAACAUAAGUGACUAAAAUGUAAUAUGGGUCAAACAAAAGUGACUAUUUUUUAUAAUUUACCCAUUUUAAAAUUAUCAAAUUACAAUAAAAUAUAUAAUAAUAUUUAUAAAAUUAGCUAAAAGGUAAAAAAAACUUAUAAAAAAUUAAAAAAUUAAUUAAGUGUUGAUUGUUAAUUUACACUCAAUUAAACUCUUAUUGACCAUAAAUUAAUUAAGUUAACGUUAAUUGUUAAAUUUAGCUGAGGUGAUAAAAGAUAACAUAUGGCAAUGACAAGCGAUGUGGAAUAGAUGCUAGCACAACAUAUUAUCAUGUCAACAAAUAUAAAAAAAUUAUAAAAAAAACUAUAAAAGAAGUAUAAACGCUUUACAAACUAAAUUAAAUAAAUAUAUAAAUAAUCUAAAUAAUUUUCAGUACCAAAGAUUGUAACCUACUAAUGGAAGUGAUCAAUAACCCAGGAAAAGAAAUCGAUAAAAUCUAUGACGAGGCUUCUACGGUGACCCAACUCUAAGAUUCAAACUAGAGAGAUAGGAAAGAAAUAAGGAAAAUGUUUUUUUUUUUGAAAAAAUAACUAGAUUCAUAAAAUGUUAAAAAAGUCAAGUUCGAUACAUAAUACAACUUGGUUUAUCAACUAAUAAACAUCAUUCGAAAGAGAAUUAGAUUAGAAAUGACUUCCUAACUGGAUUUGUCCAUCGACGCAUUUGUUCCGUUUCCAAAAAACAUGGAGCAAAGGUUUAAUAAUAAAAAAUUAUUAGAGCAUUCAAAGGGGGGAGAAUAAGAUUAGUAGAGUUAUUAUUAGCCAUACGAUAAUAAUGGUCGUGACAUCAACUUCAAUCUCCAGGUCGUUAAUGUUCAAUGAUCUUACUAGUUGGAGCUGCCCACAAUUCAGCUUGAACACUACUAGCACAAGAGAUAUGUUUAUAGAAGCUAAUCACCCAAUUACCUCGAUGGUUACGAAUGAGUGCACCUGAUCUCACAUUCCUUAGGUUUCCAAGAGCUUAACCAUCAGUAUUAAGUUUGAACAGGUCCUUAUCAGACAGUUUCUAAUAAAUUAAAAUAAAGGAAGGAAGAGAAAUACAUUAUAUCAUAAAAGAUGAGACAAUGAAUUCCCCUAUUUCAUAUAAAAGAAAAAUAGAAGGGGAAGUAGCAUUUUCUUUACCUAAAUAUUAUAAAAUAUAAAUUAUUUAUAUGUGUUUAAAAUUAUUUAUUGCGGUUAGAAUUAUUUACUUAAAUAAUGCUAUAAAAAUAUUUUUAUUAAUAUAUUAUUGACCUGUUUUUUUAAUAGGUAAACUAUUUUAAUAGUUACUAAAUUAUAAAUAAAAUUUCAUUGAUGACUUAAUUAAAAAAAGUAUAAUUUAGUUAUUAUAAUUUUCGAAAUUAAAUUUUUAUCAGUUAAUUAUAUUUUUUAAUUAGUAUAAUAAUAAUUUUAGUAUUCAAUUUUUAUAAUUUCCGCCGAUUUCCUAAAAAAAUACCACAGUAUCCGAAUCGAACGGUCGAGUUGGGGGAAUUUCGCCGUCCCUAGUUGUUUCUUGUUAGGGACCAAAGACCUAGCUUUAGCUCUCUCCAAAGCCCACCAAAAAGAAAAAAAGAAAACAAUUCUAAAGUAACCACUUAGGAACCUUCACUCUUCAGAGCAUCCAUUGUUAUCCCAAGUAGCUUUAGUACUCUACCACCGAAAUCCAACCCUUAAAACAAUACCAUUUGCAGAGUGGAAAUGGGCAUCUACGCCAUGGAUUUUGCACUCAAAUUCAACCAGUCUAUUUUCUCUACUCCAUACCCACCUAAACCUUCACCCAAAUGUAGAUUUCUAACCGCAAGAUGCUCCCUCCCUCUCUCCUCUGACGGUGCCGCCACUGGUAAACUUUUUUUCUUUUUCACUCUUUGCUUCUAAAUUCUCUCUCUCUCUCUCUCUCUCUCUCUCUCUCUCUCUCUCUCUCUCUCUUAUAAAUAAAUAAAUAAAAGUUGAAAAAUCUUUGGGUAUCGGGUGGUUUCAGGGUUGGCGGAGAGGCCAUGGAAGGUAGCGGAUGCUAGGCUGCUUCUUGAAGAUGGUUCUAUUUGGAGGGCUAAAUCUUUUGGUGCCUCUGGUACCCGAGUUGGCGAAGUGGUUUUCAACACUUCUUUAACAGGGUAACAUUAUAUAUAUAGUAUUUUGAAUUUCAAUUUCUCUUCAUACCUUUUAACUAAAUUAAAGAAUUUUGCACUUGUUCUAAUCUUGUGUAUGAACAAUGGAGUGCCGAAAUAAGGUGAGACUAGAUAAAUUAAGGUUUUGUUAAAAAAAUUAACUUUAAACAAUGUUCAGUAAGAUUAUAUAGUGUUUGGACAAUAAUGGUUGAAAUUACAUGUUGCUUCUUUUACUUUAUUGUUAUUUUUAAAGGGUGUUUAGGGCUGUCAUUCCCUUUACAGUGUAGUUGCUUAUCUUUUUAUCUGUUAUGCCUUUGUUUUGAAUCUCGCCACGGUGUAAAUUACGUGGACUUAGGUGCAUAGUUUAAUGCAUGGCCAAAUUAAUUGUUGUUCAGGUAUCAGGAAAUUCUAACAGAUCCUAGUUAUGCUGGUCAGUUUGUCUGAUGACCAAUCCCCAUAUUGGCAAUACCGGAGUAAAUUUUGGUAAGUAAAUUUCACUUGCCGAAUCAUUGCAUUUCUGAAUUGUUGAAAACUUUAUGUUUUCUGAUGUUGAUGCAUACCACAUCAGAUGAUGAUGAAUCGAGGCAGUGCUUUCUUGCUGGUUUGGUGAUCAGAAGUCUAAGUAUUACGUAAUUUAAUUUCUUAGAUAUACCCUUUUUACUUGUUUGGCAUGAAAGGUUUGCUUAUUUGAGUUAUCAAAUUUUAAUUAAAUGUUUUGCAGAACUUCCAAUUGGAGAUGUGUGGAAACGCUUGGUGAUUAUUUAGCAGAAAGAAAUGUUAUGGGAAUUUGUAAGUCAUAAUACAUGUAACUCGGUGUCUAGUUAAGAAUCUGCUCCGACCUAUUUUCAUCUUUUGAUGCCUUCCUAAAAUGGCAGAUGAUGUUGACACACGUGCAAUCACCUGCAGAUUGAGGCAAGAUGGAAGUCUUAUUGGGGUUUUGAGCACUGAACAAUCUAGAAGUGAUGAUGAACUUUUGGAAAUGUCACGUUCAUGGGACAUUGUAGGUAAGAUUGAGAUACCCCUAUCUUAUUUGAAAGCUAUGAGCAGUUUUAUAUGGAUAAAAUCAGUUGUAUCUAUAUUAUUCUCGUAUUUAUUUCACAGGUAUUGAUUUAAUAAGUGGUGUUACCUGUAAUGCCCCGUACGAGUGGGUUGAUGAAACAAAAUCAGAAUGGGACUUCAACUCCGAUGGAAGAGAUAGAGAUACCUAUAGAGUUAGUAAUACUUUUUAAAGUUAAUGUUGGAGAAUUUAGAUCCUUGUUUUGUGUCUGCUCUUACACUUCUCGGUUUCCUUUUGAAUUGAAGGUUAUUGCCUAUGAUUUUGGGAUCAAACAUAAUAUACUUCGACGCUUAGCAUCUUAUGGCUGUAAAAUCACUGUUGUCCCAUCCACAUGGCCAGCAGCCGAAACCCUUAAGCUGAAGCCAGACGGAGUUCUUUUCAGCAAUGGUCCAGGAGAUCCAUCUGCAGUUCCUUACGCCGUUGAGACAGUCAAGGAAAUUUUAGGGAAAGUUCCUGUUUUCGGAAUUUGCAUGGGUCAUCAGUUACUCGGGCAGGCUUUGGGUGGUAAAACCUUUAAGAUGAAGUUUGGCCACCACGGUGGAAAUCAUCCUGUUCGUAAUCUUCGGAAUCGCCGUGUUGAGAUUAGCGCUCAGGUGUGUUUAAGUAGCCAAAGUGUUUCCAUUGAAUAAUUAGUUCAUAGAGGCAUCCCUUUUAUGCAAUUCCAAGCAUUGUGUUUCUGCGUGGGUUUAUAUUUUACUUUGAGAUGAACCAACCCCAACUAAAACUGCACGCACACACAAGUAAUAAAAUCAAAAGUUUUACAUAUUUGCCUAGUAUUGCACAUAUUAUUCUUAUAUCUAUUGACAAUGUUUUAGGUAUUUAAAUGUUUGUAUGUAUGUCCACUAACUUAUUCAGUUCAGUAUGUGUUUAAAGUCGUAACAUCUCUUUCGGUUUGUGUUUUUGACAUCGGAGUUCAUGAUUUGGCAGAACCACAACUAUGCAGUCGAUCCAGCCUCACUCCCUGAGGGUGUAGAAGUGACUCAUGUUAAUCUCAAUGAUGGAAGCUGUGCUGGUCUAGCUUAUCCUGCUUUAAGUAUUAUGUCUCUUCAAUACCAUCCUGAAGCAUCCCCAGGACCUCAUGAUUCAGAUUGCGGUAAGAAUUUCUUUACUACACCUAAUUUCGACAAUUUGAUUUAGUCUUUCGCCUUUUAACCAAGAUCGCAAUUUUCUAUUUCGUUAAAGAAAGGUCUCUUUGCUCAAGCCAAGUUAGUUUCUUUGUACAGCUUUUAGAGAAUUCAUAGAGCUUAUGGAGUCAACAAAACAAGCUGCUUGAAGGAACCUGUAACGUCAGGUUGUUUCAAUUUUCAGGUAUUAGUAUCGUAGUAAAUGUGCUUUCUUCUCAGCUGUGGUUCCUUUGGUAUGUGCUUUAGCUGGCUAUGGAUCUUGUUUUAGUUUUAGCAUUAUUAUAUUGUCCUAAAAUUGAGGCAGUAUUUUCGUUUUCUAAAAUAAACCAUUCCCCUUCCGUUUUAAUUUUGGGGGAGUAGAAAUCCUGGCUUUACCAAAGCCGAAAAGGUAGUCUGGUCUGGUCUGGUCGAAUGACAAGUAGGGUGCCGCUGUCCUACUAAGCUGUAAGGUAUAUUUCACUUGGGUCGGUUGGGUUUUAUUAUCCGUAAUAAAAUCUGUUUAUUAAAAAUAUAACUGUAUUAACAUCCAAAUCUUAGUUAAAUGACAGUAUUUGUCAGGUAUUUAACACUAAACGUUGCAGCUCAUUUUCUUAAAUAAAAUUUUAAACAGUAUUUCGAGUUUGAAAUCAAAUACCGUAUCCAUAACAAGAAAGUAAAUUCAAAAGAAUGGUUUUGAAUUUUAUUAGUAAAAUUAAAGUGGACUUAGAGAAUUUGAGGUUACUAUAGCUGUGAACCUGAUGAAAUUAACGAAGAUAGUAAUUAUAACACUCCAUUCGAAAAUGAUAUUCGAUUCACUGCUAUCCUUUCCACACAAAAACGGUUGAAAUAUACCUGAUGAAUUCAAAGUAACAAAAAGGAUUCACAAUAUGAUUUUAUUAAAUUUAAUUUUCCCAGAAGUUUGACCGCGCAAACUGGCACUAACUUUUUUUUAAAAAAAUCUCGUACAAUAAUAGCUAUUAACAUUAAUGUUCUCAAAACCCUUGAAUAUUAAAUAAAUAAAAGAAGCACCACAAUCCAGUCUCCAGCUCCAAACAUCCAUUUAAGCAGCAUGGUUCAAAGAUGGAUUGUAAGGAAGGAAUUAAGCACCAAUUGUCCGUCCACCGCCGUCUCCUUAGGGCCCAUCAUCUUAAUGGUGGUGAUACGGUGAAAGGCUAAAAUAAUAAUACGUCAAUAUCAAGUACACCGUCCUACAAUGAUCGCUAACUUCCCCCACAUAAACCAGACUUUUGAGUUCACUUGACACGGCACACCAAAAAAAGCCAACUAAAUGCAAAAUGUAGAUCACCAUCAAAAGCAAUUACAAAACUUAGAAGCACUUCCUGUGGACAAUGGAUGGACCGGACUCAUCAUACUCACCCUUGGAAAUCCACAUCUGUAAAGCAAGAUCGUCAGUGUCGGACAACCAUCACACAAAAGAAGUAGAGCCAAAUAUAAAAAGAAAUAUUUACCUGCUGGAAGGUGCUGAGUGAUGCCAAGAUAGAUCCUCCAAUCCAGACACUGUACUUUCUCUCUGGUGGCGCAACGACCUUAAUCUUCAUGCUGCUUGGAGCAAGAGCAGUGAUCUCCUUGCUCAUGCGGUCCGCAAUACCAGGGAACAUAGUUGAACCCCCACUGAGCACAAUGUUACCAUAGAGAUCCUUCCUGAUAUCCACAUCACACUUCAUGAUAGAGUUGUAGGUAGUUUCAUGGAUUCCAGCAGCUUCCAUCCCAAUGAAAGAUGGCUGGAAGAGGACUUCCGGGCAACGGAAUCUCUCAGCUCCAAUAGUAAUGACUUGUCCGUCAGGCAACUCAUAGUUCUUCUCAACAGAUGAGCUGCUCUUGGCAGUCUCCAGUUCCUGCUCAUAGUCCAGGGCAACAUAAGCAAGCUUCUCUUUCAUGUCACGGACAAUUUCCCGUUCAGCAGUGGUGGUGAACAUGUAACCUCUCUCGGUAAGAAUCUUCAUCAAGGCAUCGGUUAGAUCACGACCUGCAAGGUCAAGACGGAGGAUGGCAUGUGGAAGGGCAUAUCCUUCAUAGAUUGGCACGGUGUGAGAAACACCAUCACCGGAAUCCAGCACAAUACCUGUUCCAAUAGAGAGAUAAUCCAGUGUCAGCAUGAUUCCAAAAUAUCAUUAAAAUGAGAAAAGCUCAUAGAACUUUCAAGUCUAACAAACCUGUUGUACGACCACUGGCAUACAAAGAGAGGACGGCCUGGAUGGCAACAUACAUAGCAGGUACAUUGAAGGUCUCAAACAUGAUCUGAGUCAUCUUUUCUCUAUUGGCCUUGGGGUUGAGAGGUGCUUCCGUGAGAAGCACAGGGUGCUCCUCAGGAGCAACACGGAGUUCGUUGUAGAAUGUAUGAUGCCAGAUCUUUUCCAUAUCAUCCCAGUUGCUCACAAUACCAUGCUCAAUAGGAUAUUUCAAAGUAAGGAUACCUCUUUUAGAUUGUGCUUCAUCUCCUACAUAGGCAUCCUUCUGACCCAUCCCAACCAUAACACCAGUGUGCCGGGGACGACCAACGAUACUGGGAAAAACUGCCCUUGGAGCAUCAUCACCAGCAAAACCGGCCUACAUUACAGACAAAAUUAGCUUAACCAUAUGAUACUUCUCAUAAAGAAAUAAACAAUAACCAAGAUUAUAACUCAGGUCUAGAAGAGUUCAUAGUCCGGCCAGGUUUGUGUAUAAUAUCAUCAUAAUUCUUAUGUCCCCAAGCUCGGCUUAGUCCAUAAUAUGAUCUCAUAUUUUACCCAAAUCUACCAAUAGUAUUUUCUAUUUCUUAAAAUAUAUUUUUCAUUUAAUAUUUAGUAUUUUUUUGGGUAUUCUUCAUGUCCAUGUUUAUGGUCCAUGUUCAUGGAUUAUAGCUACCUUUCCCAACAAUUUCGUCUCCAAGGUCUAAAUCUAUGUCUCCUCUUAGGAAUGCAAUGUGUCUUACAAUUGAUUAAGAAAAUUAAUGUUUAAAUUAUAGUAUUAUAUAUGUAUCUAUUAUAUCUAUAAAUUAUAUAAUGUAAACGAGCUGAGCUGCGUUCAGGCUUUGAAUGUAGAAGCCUGAGCAAAGCCCACUUAAACAGAUUUUAUCCUUGUCCAAGUCUAAAAGCUAGGUGUCAGGUUUGCUUUGGUCUAAAAAAUAACUAACCUUCACCAUUCCAGUUCCAUUAUCACAGACGAGGGGUUGAAUAUCCUCACCGUCGGCCAUCUUUUACAAUACUGCAAACAGGAAUCUAGGUAGUGAGUACAGCAAAAUCACUUGUCAACGCGAAUUCUGUGCCCUUCAACUAAUCUAAACAAGCUAAACUAAAGACAUUUGACAAAUCAAUUUCUAGUUUCUCUAAAUGGAAAAAAAAUAAAGUAAAAGCAGAAACACUUAGUCAACAUUAAUUUCUUCAAAUACAGAAAAUAGAACAGUCCAAUAUCCUAGCUGUUUAUGAAACAGCGCAAACAACUAUAGUAGUUAAAAUCGUAGGCAACAUUCAUUUGAGAGAAUCUCAUCAAGCUACCGUAAAAUUCGAUGAACAACAAAUGGAAUCAAUUAGAAAUAAUGAUCGAGAUUAGAGCUUUUCUUAAAGAUAAAAGAAACCUUUGCAAAGUAUUGAAUCUACACAGUGAAAGCAUUAAUCAGGACAAGUUGGUCGAAGAUCAAGUUCAAAAUAAAGAGAAAAAAUAAAUUGUCGUUAGAUCUAUAAAGAAUAGCAAAUGUAAUGAAGCGGAUCAAGCUAAGUAAGGAUCCAGUUGCAAAAGGAGCAGAUCAAGUUAAAUCUAACACUCUAGAAACCUCUCGAACUGUAGAUCUUAGUUGCAUCAUAGCCGAAACAUCAAACUCAAGCAUCAAAUACACAGAUCGGCAGAUUUUGAAGAAAAUUUAAAGCAAAGUAAAAGGUUUACCUGAGUAAAUGAAAGAACGAAGAGGAGCUUCAGAGUAAGAGAGAGAGAGAGAGGGAAGAAGAAGAAGAAGAAGAAGAACCAAAAACGACGACGCUUUUUUCCCUUUUUCUCUCUUCGCUGUAGUUGUGGUGCAGCUGCUGGAGAAGGCAGUGUGCAAGAAGAGAAAGAAAACGGGUAUUUAUCUAUCUACAUUUUUUUUUCAUAACCACGGGUGAUUUUUUUUUUCGCAUAAUGGUUUAAAAUGUCCUUAAUUUUUUUAAAAAUAAUUAAACUCUUAACACUUAAAUUAAUAAAAUUUAUCAAAUAAGCCCUUUACCUAAUAUUAACAGUUACAAUAUUAUAUGGACAUUAACAAAGCUUACACGAUACUCUAUAUCAACUAUAGUUGCUAACAUGACACUAUUACAUCAUCAAAAAUAUUAAAGGAAAUAUAUAAUUCUUUUUACUAAAAUGAACUUAAACAUACGAUUAAUCAGAUUCAUUCGUUUUAAAGCGUAAUUAAUUUUUAGUUAAAAUUUUUUUAAAAUAAUUUAUUUGAUUUUUUAUAACUUUAUAAAACAUUAUUAAAAUUUAUAAAUAAAAUCAAAUAAAAUUCAAUAAAUUUUAAAAAAAAUAAAAACCAUUUAAAAGUUAAGUCCAGAUUCAUUCAAGACGAUUUUUCUAAAUUAUAUAAAAUUUAAAUGAUAGUAAAAAUUAAUUUUCUUUAAAAUUUUGAUAUGUUUAUCAAUGUUUUAAUUCUAUUUUCUCUUUUAAGAUGUAUACAAAAUAAAUAAAAAAUAUUUUUAUAAAAUAAAUAUAAAUAACUUUAAAUUUAACUUUAUUAACUAUAGGUGUAAAGGGUUUUUUUUUAUUGUAUGAAUAUAUCCAAUUAAAAAGUGUACCAAUUAUUUUAUUACAUGUGUAGCUUAAAAGUAGAUAUGUUCAUGAGUCGAGUCAAGUUUAGUCUGGGCCAAUGUAACUAGACCAAUUUUCUAAGCAUGAACCCAACUAAAAAAAUGGGCUUAUUUUUUUCAAGCUAGACCCAAUUUAAAAAAGGUAAGCUCAGGUCCGGCUUAACCUGUCUAUACUUGAUUUUUUUAGAUUAUUUUUAUUUUAAUACAAUUUUAAAAAAUAAUAAUAAUAUACUAAAUGCACAAAAAAAAUACUAAAAUUAAAAUUUUCUAACACAUUAAAAAGUUUUUAUAUUAAAAACUCUACUAUAAAUAUAAUAAAUGUUUUCUUUGAUUAAAAAACACAAAUAAAUAUUUUAUUGUAUUAAGUAUAUUUUUUAAAAUUUUAUAUUUUUUGUUGGGUUAUUUAGCUGGGUAAUUUUUUUUAAGUUUUUGAAUAAUGGUUUAAUUGUUAGCCGAUUAGUGAUUUAAUAUAAAUAUAAAUAUAUAUAAUUAUUAUUUAACAUAUAUAAUUAAUAUAAUAUUUUUUAAAAUAAUAUAUUUAGGUCGGGCAAGUUGGGCUCGAGUAAAAAAUUCUUACCCAAUGUCUGGCCCAUAUAAAAAAUGAAACUUUCUCAUUUUUCGAAUGCACCUUCGGGCUUGGGUGAGUGGUCCGACUCAUGAGCACUACCUUAAAGGUGUAUCAAUUAUUUUGUAGCUUAAAAUAUUUAAAUAAUUAGAUAUAUUCAUACAUUUAUAAAUAAAAAAAACUUUACAUAUACAAUUAAUAAAAUUAAAAUUAUUUAUAGUUAUUUAUAGCCUACAAAUUUUCGCUUAAUUGACAAUGUGCUUUCUCUUUGAAGCUUGGAUAAGUUUUAUCAUUUUGUAAUCACAAUUUGCAUUAACAAUAUUGAAAUCAUUGGUUUUGUAAUACACCACUUGAGAGUUUAGUACGUUUUGAUAAAAUUAUAUUAAAUAGUUUUAGAUAAUUUGAAUGUUCUCUGUUUGACUGUGCUUGAUGGAUCUUGUUUUUAGUUUUAGCAUUAUUAUUAUAUUAUCUUGUCCUAAAAGUGAGGCAGCAUGUUCAUUUUCCUCCCCUUUUUCUUGGACAAACCAUUCUCCUUCCAUUUUAGUUUUGGUGGGAGUAGAAAUCCUUCUGUCACCAAAGCCAAAAGGUAGACUAGUCUGGUCGCAUGGCAUGGCAAAACAUAUACCAUCCAAAUCUAGUUAAAUCACAUUAUCUGUCAGAUAUAUAACUAAUCAAAUAUGGUAUCCAUAACAGUAAAGAAAUUUCAAAAAAUGGUUUUGGAUAUUACUAAAUUUAAAGAGGGCUCGUAUUUGAAGUUCUAUUCGCUGUGAAUCUGAUGAAAAUUUGAAGAUAGUAAUUAUAGCAUUGAGUUUGAAUAUGAUAUGCUAUUCACUGCCAUCCCUUCCACACAAAAACGGUGGAAUUAUCCCUUCCACACACAAUUGACUUGACAUAUUUUGAAGCAUUCAUCGAAACAAAACCAUGCUCAUCACCAUAAUUAAACAGGUUUAUACCCAAUGAAUUCAAAGCAAAAAAGGAUUCACAAGAUUCCAAAACCAGGCAUUAAAUAUAAUUCCCAUACAAGUUUGACCGCAAACUGACUAAUUUUUCAAAAAAAAAUCUCGUACAAUAAUAGCUAUUAACAUUAAUGUUCUCAAAACCCUUGAAUAUUAAAUAAUAAUAAGCACCACAAUACAGUCUCCAGCUCCAAACAUCCUCUUAAGCAAAAUGCUUAAAAGAUGGAAGGUAAGCAAGUAGGGAAUUAAGCACCAAUUGUCCGCCCACCGCCAGCCCCAUAGGGCCCGUCAUCUUAAUGGUGGCGAUACGGUGAAAGGCUAAAAUAAUAGUACAUCAAUAUCAAGUACACCAUCCUACAAUGAUCCCUAACUUCCCCGACAUAAACCAGACUUUUGAGUUCACUUGACACGGCACACCAAAAAAAGCCAACUAAAUGCAAAAUGUAGACCACCAUCAAAAGCAAUUACAAAACUUAGAAGCACUUCCUGUGGACAAUGGAUGGACCGGAUUCAUCAUACUCACCCUUGGAAAUCCACAUCUGCAAAGCAAGAACGUCAGUGUUGGACAACCAUAACACGAAAGAAGUAAAGCCAAAAAUACAAAAAUAUUUACCUGUUGGAAGGUGCUGAGUGAUGCCAAGAUAGAUCCUCCAAUCCAGACACUGUACUUUCUCUCUGGUGGCGCAACGACCUUAAUCUUCAUGCUGCUUGGAGCAAGAGCAGUGAUCUCCUUGCUCAUGCGGUCCGCAAUACCAGGGAACAUGGUUGAACCCCCACUGAGCACAAUGUUACCGUAGAGAUCCUUCCUGAUAUCCACAUCGCACUUCAUGAUAGAGUUGUAGGUAGUUUCAUGGAUUCCAGCAGCUUCCAUCCCGAUGAAAGAUGGCUGGAAGAGGACUUCCGGGCAACGGAAUCUCUCAGCUCCAAUAGUAAUGACUUGUCCGUCAGGCAACUCAUAGUUCUUCUCAACAGAUGAGCUGCUCUUGGCAGUCUCCAGUUCCUGCUCAUAGUCCAGGGCAACAUAAGCAAGCUUCUCUUUCAUGUCACGGACAAUUUCCCGUUCAGCAGUGGUGGUGAACAUGUAACCUCUCUCGGUAAGAAUCUUCAUCAAGGCAUCGGUUAGAUCACGACCUGCAAGGUCAAGACGGAGGAUGGCAUGUGGAAGGGCAUAUCCUUCAUAGAUUGGCACAGUGUGAGAAACACCAUCACCGGAAUCCAGCACAAUACCUGUUCCAAUAGAGAGAUAAUCCAGUGUUAGCAUGAUUCCAAAAUAUCAUUAAAAUGAGAAAAGCUCAUAGAACUUUCGAGUCUAACAAACCUGUUGUACGACCACUGGCAUACAAAGAGAGGACGGCCUGGAUGGCAACAUACAUAGCAGGUACGUUGAAGGUCUCAAACAUGAUCUGAGUCAUCUUUUCUCUAUUGGCCUUGGGGUUGAGAGGUGCUUCCGUGAGAAGCACAGGGUGCUCCUCAGGAGCAACACGGAGUUCAUUGUAGAAUGUAUGAUGCCAGAUCUUUUCCAUAUCAUCCCAGUUGCUCACAAUACCAUGCUCAAUAGGAUAUUUCAAAGUAAGGAUACCUCUUUUAGAUUGUGCUUCAUCUCCUACAUAGGCAUCCUUCUGACCCAUCCCAACCAUAACACCAGUGUGUCGGGGACGACCAACGAUACUGGGAAAAACUGCCCUUGGAGCAUCAUCACCAGCAAAACCGGCCUGCAUUACAGACAAAAUUAGCUUAACCAUAAGAUACUUUUUAGAAAGAAAUAAACAAUAACCAAGAUUAUAACUCAAGUUUAGAGGUGUUCAUAAACCAGGUCAAGUUUGUGUAUGAUAUCAUCAUAAUUCUUCUAUGCCAAAUCUCGGGUUGGUCCAAAAUAUUAUCUAAAUCCACCAAUAUUAUUUCUAUUUUUUAAAUAUUCUUCAUGUCUUUGUCCAUGUUUGGGGAUUGUAGCUAUCUCACCUAACAAUGCCAUCUCCAAUGUUCAAACAUGUGUCUUCCCUUGAGAGUGCAGCUUACCAUUGAUUAAAAAAUUUAAGCCUUACUAUAUAUAAAUAUUGGCCCAACUUAACAACUUUUCUCACACUGGCCCCUAAACUUUUUUUUGGAUCAUAUUGGUACUUAAGGUUGGCAUCUGUUACUCAGAUUGGUCCUUACACUAACACCGUUUGUUCUUUUAAGAAUUUGUUGAUGUGGUUAAAGCAUGGGGCUGACACAUGGAUUCAUCUUUAACCAUUCCUAAAUUUUUUUUUAAAAAAAUUAAAAUUUGUUAAAAAAAUAUAAGAAAUAUACAAAUUAUAAAACUUCAAAUAUAUAUAUAUUGAAAAUAAAAAUAAAAAUAAAAAGAAUAUGUAAAUUGAAAAUAAAAAUAAAAAUAAAAAGAAUAUGUAAAUUGAAAAUAAAAAUAAAAAAGAAUAUGUAAAAAAUUGAAUAUAAAAAUAACAAAUUUAGUUAAAUUUAAAAAAAAACUAAAUAUGUUUAAAAAUAAAUAAAUUUGGUUAAAUUUUUACAAAAUUACAAGAAAUUGUAAAAUUAAAAAAUUUUAAACAUUAAAGAAACAAAAAUUGACCGGUUGACAUUGGUCAACUCCCUGUCAACAUUAGUCAAUGCUGGUCAAGCCCAAUUAACUUCAGUCAACGCACGAUCAAUUUUUCUUUUUUUUUCUUUUUUUGUAAAUUUUAAAAAAUAUUUUUAUUUUUUACUUUUUUUUAAGUUGAAUAUUUAAAGAGUAAGCUUUUAAAUGUUAAAUUUUAACUUAACUUUUUAUUUUCAUUUUUUUAUGUUCAAUUUUUUGAAUUUUUAUAAUUUAUAAUAUCUCUUUAAAAAAUUAAAAAUUUUUCUGAAUCUUUUCAAAAUUUUUAAGGUUUUUUUUUUUUUUUUUUAAGAAUGAUUAAAGAUGAAUCCAUGUGUCACCCUCAUACUUUUCCACAUCAACAAAUUCUUUUGCUUUUCCCAUCAACAAAUUCUUUAAAAAUAAAGAGGGUUAGUGUAAGGACCAAUCUGUGUGACAGAUGCCAACAUUAGGGGCCUAUAUGAUAAAAGCAAAAGUCUAAAGGCCAAUGUGAAAAAAGUUGCCAAAUUCAAGGGUCACUCUACAUAUUAAGCUUUAAAAAAACUAAUGGUGUUAACUAUAUGGACCAAUUUGUGUAAUGGAUGCCAACUUUAGGGACCAAUGUGAUUCAAAAAUAUGUUUAGGGGCAAAUUUGAGGAAAGUUGCUGCUAAGUUUAGGGGUCAAUCUAUAUAGUAAGCCAAAAAUUAAUAUUUAAAUUAUAAUAUUAUGUAUUUAUUUCAUAUAUAAAUUAUAUAAUAUAUAAAAUAAAAUAAAUUUAAUAUUUAUAAAAUUAGAAAAUAAGCUGCGCUAUUCAAGCUUUGAACGUAGAAGCCCGAGCUACGCCCACUUAAAAGUGAUUUUUUUCUUUUAUGUCUUAGCCUAAAGGCUAGGAGUCAGGUUUGCUUUGAUCUAAAAUUAACUAACCUUUAUCACCAAAAAAAAUAAAUUUAACUAACCUUCACCAUUCCAGUUCCAUUAUCACAGACGAGGGGUUGAAUAUCCUCACCGUCGGCCAUCUUUUACAAUACUGCAAACAAGAAUCGAGGUAAUGAGUAUGACAAAAUCACCUGCCAACUCGGAUUCUGUGCCCUUCAACUAAUCUAGACAAGUUAAAUUAAAGACAUUUGACAAAUCAAUUUCUAGUUUCUCUAAAUGGGAAAAAAAUAAAGUAAAAACAGAAACACUUAGUCAACAUUAAUUUCUUCAAAUACAUAAAAUCGAAUAGUCCAAUAUCCUAGCUGCCUAUGAAACAGCGGAAACAACUAUAGUAGCUAAAAUCGUAGGCAACAUUCAAUUGAAAGAAUUUAAUCAAGCUACCGUAUAAUUCGAUGAACAACAAAUGGAAUCAAUUAGAAAUAAUGAUCGAGAUUACAGCUUUUCUUCAAGAUAUAAAAAAACUUUGCAAAGUAUUGAAUCUACACAAUGAAAGCAUUAAUCAGGACAAGUUGGUCAAAGAUCAAGUUCACAAUAAAGAGAAAAAAUCAAUUCUCGUUAGAUCUAUAAAAAAAUGUAAUGAAGCGGAUCAAGCUAAGUACAGAUCCAGCUGCAAAAGGAGCAGAUCAAGUUAAAUCUAACACUCUAGAAACUUAUAGAACUGUAGAUCUCAGUUGCAUCAUAGCCAAAACAUCAAACUCAAGCAUCAAAUACACAGAUCGACAGAUUUUGAAGAAAAAUAAAAGCAAAGUAAAAGGUUUACCUUAGUGAACAAAAGAACGAAAGAGGAGCUUCUGAGAAAGAGAGAGAGGGAAGAAGAAGAAGAAGCAAAAACGACGACGCUUUUUUUCCCCUUUUUCAGUUUUUCUCUCUUCUCCGUGGUGCAGCUGCUGGAGGCGUAAAUGCAAUGUGUUAGAAGUGAAAGAUAACAGGUACUUAUGCAUCUGCCCUUUUUUUCCUCUUUUUUUUUGCAUAACCACGAGUGAAAUUAUUUUUAACGUCUUAAAAAUAAAUUGUUUUUUAUUUAUUUUAAAAGAAACUUUAUUUAAUAAAUAUAUUUGAGAUAUAUCAUAUUUGGUACCUAUAUUUUCAUAAAAUAUUCAAUGUGGUACCUUCACUUUUAAAAUGUCCAACGAAACACUUGAACUAUCAAUGUAUGUUUUGUUAUGAUUCUUAUACUUUCAUAAAAUGUCAAAUGUAGUAUAUAAUUUUUUUAUUAAUAAGAUGUUUAGUUAUUUGUUUUUUAUUUUAUUUUUAUUUUUGUUUUAUUUAAUUUUUCACAAUAAUGUUAUAGUAUUCACGUGGACUUGAUGAUUUGGAAAAGAAAAUUCUACAUGUCAAAUUUUAAUUGAUUGAUUUAGCAAUUCAAAAAUAAUGUUAACAUCAUGUACUAUAAUAGAACAUAUAUUGAUAAUUCAGGUACCAAAUUGGACAUUCUAAAAUACCGGUACCACAUUGAACAUUUCAUAAAAGUACAAGUAUCAUAAUAAAAUAUAUUUUGAUAGUUUAAGUAUCAAAUUAGACAUUUUCAAAGUACAUUUACCAUAUUAAACAUUUUUAUGAAAGGAAAUGCACCAAAUGUGAAAUUAUCCCACUGUAUUUUUAUUUAUAAUUAGGUCGAGGUUAUUUAAUUGCAAUAAUUUAGGUCGCUUUAAUAUUUUCCGAAUUCCUACUGAUUAAUUGAUAAAUUACACAUUAUUUAAAUUAUAUUUUUAGUUAUUCAACUUUGAUGACUUAUAUUAAGUCGAAUCCCUAAAAUUAAAAGAUAUGAUUAAAAAAUACAUACUAAACCAUUAUACGAAAAUUAUAUUGUGUAAGAUUUUUUUUAAAGUCCAAGAUUAUAGUAAUUUCUAUAAAAGGAUUUUACAAACCAUUAUAAAUUGAAGAACUGUCUCCGCUGUUUUUACACUAACUGCAGGUAAAUGCACUGCUCAUCCAAACUCACCCAACGUCAAAAAAUAGUAAAACAUUUAUUGCCUUCUACUUGGUAGAUGGAGUGGCCACAAGAAAGAAAUGAUAAUUUUCUUAAUUUAAUUUAAUCAUUUGUUCACAGUUUUUCUUUUAUUCAAUUUAAUCUUGAUUCUAAAUGUGAUCUGGUAAUGUAAUUUGAAUUUAGUUAAUAUUUUUAUGAACUCUAAUCAUUAAUGUUUUUGCAUGUAUUACAUAUGUAUAAUUCUUGUAAAAUUUUUAUUGAUGGUGUAUUUGGAUGCUUAUAACAUUUAAAAUAUUUGGGUUGACGAUGUGGAGUUAUUUUAUCAAGCAAAUAUUUUUUCAAAAAAUACUCAAGAAAUGAGAGAAAUAAAUAAAUAAAACAUUUAUACCAUUUGUUGAUGGCAUAUUCUCAUCAUAAGUCCCUCCGCCCAUAUCAAUCUAUAUAAUGGAUUCACUUGCAUUUUUAAUUUACAUUAUUAGUCCUUUGUAUUUUACAUAUGUCACAAAUUAAUCUUAUUAAUUAUUACUAUUUUUAAAAGAAUGCUUAAGGGUGUAAAAGGCUCUUGAAUUUUAAAAAGAAGUUCAAGUAAGUUUUUUUUUUUGCACUCAAUUGGGUACCUAAACUGUCAAAAUGCAUAAAAAAAUGCCCUUUUAACGGUCAAAGGGCUUUUUUGAUACAUUUUGGUAGUUUAGGUACCUAAUUGAGUCAAAGAGUAUUUUUGAUGCAUUUUGGUAGUUCGGAUACCUAAUUAAGUGCAAAAAAAAAAUGAUUUUAAUUUCUUUUAAAGUUUGAGGUUUUUUAUACUCUUGAAGCCUUAAAGAAAUGAAUUUCAUCUAAUUUUUACAAUUAUUUUAAAACUAAUACAAAAUGUUAGAGUAUUUGAAGUAAAAGUGUAUAGAAAUAAAUAAUGAAAUUUAAAUAUAUUAAAAAUGUAUUCAACAUUAAUAUUAAAAAGUUUUUUAAAAUCUUAAUAUUUUAAAAUUUAACUAUUUAAGGGAGAAUAUUUGAUGAAUCAUAAUCAGUGCAUAGGUUUCAUGCAUUAUCAAUUAAUAAUAAGAUGACACAUUGUCACUCAUGUAAAACAAAAAAAUAUUGAAGGGUUUAAAAAUAAAUAUAAAUAUUUUUUUUUUAAAAAUAAAUAUUAAUUAUCAUUUUUAAACAUAAAAAUACAAAACUUGAAAUUAAAAACCUCAAAACCGAAAUUUGAAACCAAAAACCUAAACCUAAAAUUUAAAACUUGAAAGAAAAAUAACAAAUGUAAUUAAUAUUUAAUUAUGUUUAAUAAGUUAAUAUUAUUUAUUUUCAAGUACUUCAAUAUUUUUUUUACACUGUAUCAUUUUAUUAUUAAUUAAUAGUGCUUGUGAAAACCCUCGAUUAUCACAGUAAUUAAGAUAUUAUUAAAGUUUUUCGUUCAAUUUCGUAGUGUUCUCACUUUAUUUCUCAUUUAAAUGCAAUUCAAAAAUACCCAAAACACUAAAUUUUAUCUGCCAUAUCUAAAGAAGAAAUAUUUAAUUGAAAAACCAAAAAAAAAAAAAACCCGGGUAAGACCAAAGUUUAACAAUAUCAUGUUAUUAAAAUAAUAUAAUCAUCAAAGCUGAUAUUAAAUUAGUACAAUAAUGAGAAUUCACAAGGCAAAUGACAUUGUAAUUCAUGAAUAAUCUGAUGAAUUGAUUUUUUUUUCUUUUAAUUAAUAGUUCCUAUUCUCAGCCAGCAUACGUACACCAUUACACAACAGACUCCGAUAGCCAUUUAGCCAUAUAAUUACCAAUCGUGUUAUAGACCCUCGGCACCUUUUCAAGUUCGACCGCCCAGCGCCGUUGUAGCAGCACCGUAAUCCUCCGAACCAGUGAGAGCAAUCAUGCCUGCCAUCAGUUGCAGCGCUUCACUGCUGUUGCUCUCGACUAUAAUCUGUCCAUAAACUUUAUCCAAACCAGCAAGAACCACCCACAACUCCGAGUGGAGAACCGCCGCUAUGCCAAGCUGCCUAGUAAACACAACAAUCCAGCUUAAAUGGCAAUUGAUUGUAUCUUGAAGUAAAUAGUUUAUUACGUCUUGUUUCUUUUCGUUUGUAAUGAGAUUAUUAAGAUUUUGUUUUCAUUGAAAAUUUUAUGAUAUUUUGUUAUUUUUCAUGUUAGAUUCUAGUUGAGAAUGUGCUUUCUCUUUGGAGCUUGGAUAAAUUUCAACAUUUUUGUGGUCAGAAAUUGCAUUAAUAAGAUUGAAGUUAUUAGUUUGUUGAAUCUCGUUUUUCUUUUCAUUUAUAAUGAAAUUAGUAGGAUUCUAUUUUCAUUGAAAAUUAUAUGAUAUUUGAUUUUUUUUUUUCGAUGUUAGAUUCUAAUUGACAAUACACUUUCUUUUUAGAUCUUCACAUGUUUUAACAUUUUUGCAGUUACAAUUUGCCUUAACAAGAUUAAAUAAUUACUUUUGCAGUAUGUCGCUUCAGAGUUCAUUGCAUUUUGAUAAAUGGAUAUAUUUUGUAUAAUUUUUUUUUAAAAAUAGGAUUAUAUUAACUUUUUUUAGAAUUAAUAUUAAAUUGGGACUAAAUUUAAUAGUGUCAGAAAAUUUAAUGCGGAUUCGUAUUUGAGGUUCCAUUCGUUGUGAAUCUGAUGAAGAUAGUAAUUAUAGCACUGAAUUUGAAAAUGAGAUUUGAUUCAGAGCUAUCCAUUCCACACAAAAAUGGUGAAAUUAUAAAGGGAGCUCGCAUAAUCCUUCACACACAAUUGACUUGACAAAUUUUGAAGCAUGCAUCGAAACAAAACCAUGUUCACCAUCACCACAAUUAAACAGGUUUAUACCCGAUGAAUUCAAAGCAUAAAAGGAUUCACAAUAUUCCAAAACCAGAUAUUAAAUAUAAUUUCCGUAGAAGUUUGACCGCAAACUGACUCUAAUUUUUCAAAAAAAAUCUCGUACAAUAAUAGCUAUGAACAUUAAUGUUCUCAAAACCCUUGAAUAUUAAAUAAUAAAAUAAAAUAAAAAAGCACCACAAUCCAGUCUCCAGCUCCAAACAUCCUUUUAAGCAACAUGGUUCAAAGAUGGAUUAUAAGGAAGGAAUUAAGCACCAAUUGUCCGCCCACCGCCAUCUCCAUAGGACCCAUCAUCUUAAUGGUGGUGAUACGGUGAAAGGCUAAAAUAAUAAUACGUCAAUAUCAAGUACACCAUCCUACAAUGAUCCCUAACUCUCCCCACAUAAACCAGACUUUGGACUUCACUUAACAUCGCACACAAAAAAAGCCAACUAAAUGCAAAAUGUAGAUCACCAUCAAAAGCAAUUACAAAACUUAGAAGCACUUCCUGUGGACAAUGGAUGGACCGGAUUCAUCAUACUCACCCUUGGAAAUCCAC
rnacentral:lncRNA from 1 species